rnacentral:rRNA from 1 species
GUGCACGCUGGCGGUAGGCCUAACACAUGCCAGUCGCACGGCAGCACAGUAAGAGCUUGCUCUUACGGGUGGCGAGUGGCGGACGGGUGAGGAAUACAUCGGAAUCUACUUUUUCGUGGGGGAUAACGUAGGGAAACUUACGCUAAUACCGCAUACGACCUACGGGUGAAAGCAGGGGAUCUUCGGACCUUGCGCGAUUGAAUGAGCCGAUGUCGGAUUAGCUAGUUGGCGGGGUAAAGGCCCACCAAGGCGACGAUCCGUAGCUGGUCUGAGAGGAUGAUCAGCCACACUGGAACUGAGACACGGUCCAGACUCCUACGGGAGGCAGCAGUGGGGAAUAUUGGACAAUGGGCGCAAGCCUGAUCCAGCCAUACCGCGUGGGUGAAGAAGGCCUUCGGGUUGUAAAGCCCUUUUGUUGGGAAAGAAAAGCAGCAAGUUAAUACCCCGCUGUUCUGACGGUACCCAAAGAAUAAGCACCGGCUAACUUCGUG